UGCUAAUACCGAAUGUUGUCAGUUACUCGCAUGAGAGACUGAUUAAAGAUGGCCUCUACUUGUAAGCUAUCGCUUUGCGAUGGGUCUGCGUCUGAUUAGCUGGUUGGUGGGGUAACGGCCUACCAAGGCGACGAUCAGUAGCCGGUCUGAGAGGAUGAACGGCCACAUUGGAACUGAGACACGGUCCAGACUCUACGGGAGGCAGCAGUGGGGAAUCUUCCGCAAUGGGCGAAAGCCUGACGGAGCAACGCCGCGUGAGUGAAGAAGGGUUUCGGCUCGUAAAGCUCUGUUGACGGGGACGAAUGUGCGAGAUGCGAAUAGUUUCUUGCAAUGACGGUACCCGUCGAGGAAGCCACGGCUAACUACGUGCCAGCAGCCGCGGUAAUACGUAGGUGGCGAGCGUUGUCCGGAAUUAUUGGGCGUAAAGGGAGCGCAGGCGGGAAGGCAAGUCAGUCUUAAAAGUGCGGGGCUCAACCCCGUGAUGGGAUUGAAACUGUCUUUCUUGAGUGCAGGA
rnacentral:rRNA from 1 species